rnacentral:lncRNA from 1 species
CUCGCAGUUGGAUCCGCCGGGCUAAAAUUCCGGGGUGGGCGCGCUGCACCCUGGGACAUGUGGUUCUCCGAGGGGCACGGGCGGUUCCUGCGAUCUGGCUUUCCCUGGCGUCUUGCACCAGCCCUCCCUUUGUGGGUUGCAUAGUUCCCAGGAACCUGUCAGCUCUUUAGCCUUUUUCCUGCAAAUACAUUUCCGUGAGUGCCGGCUAGAUGAGGCUCACAUGGCCUCAGGUCCGUGCUGCACGCCAUAAGGAAUAGUAGUCCCUAAAUGCAUACGCUUUUGGAGUUGUCCUCUGCCCUCACCGAGAUUGCAAAACGUUAAAGGCAAAAAUGAAUCGAGCCUUUGACGGCAGUGUGCUGAGAGUUUUCCUUGUAAUCGCUCAUGUACUCUUGGCAACUUUAAUUGCAGCUGAGCUGCCUUUCUGGAAAGUUUCUUCCUUGAUUUCUAUCACCUUGCAUCAUCUGCUUUCCUCUCAGACGGACCAUUCAGGUAAACAACCCCUUCCAUGGAGUGAAUGGAAAGAUAAUGCUUCUCUUUACUUCAGUGUCCCUCCUUCUGCCUGAAAAAGCAAUUAUUCUGGAAGCAUGUGCGUGUCAAUUGGAUUACAUUACCUGGGAGGUGGGCUAAAAACAUCAUCUGGCUAAAAUGUUUGCAGAAAUACCAUUAACCCGCUGCCAUUGUGGAUUGUUAGCUUGAGAUCAACCCAAUGACUUUCCACUUGCAAUCCUUUUAUGUUUAUAAAGAUUCCAUAAACACCGUAUUGUGUCAUUUUAAUACUAACAAUUCAACCUCCCCCCCCCAAAGUAGUAAAAGCCUGUUUUUUCUAAGUUAAAAUUAAAAAGUCCCUAUGUCUUUGAAGGAGACAGUCUCAUAUAGUAUAAAGAUGGUAAAAAAUAAAAGUCUUGAUCAUAGUUCGCA